CUUAUAUAAAGAAGUAAGCAAGAGCUUGGGGCCUCUAGGGCUCAUGACAUAGAAAGAGAAGAAGAGAAAGAGAGGAGGCUAAACAAAGAAGAAGAAGAAGAAGUUAGGAUUGAAGAGGCUUUUGGAUACAAACAAACAAAGGAGAAGAGCAUAGAAGGUUCAACCACUCUUAGAAGGGGGUUUGAAGCGCAAGAAAUAGGAAAAAGGCAGCAGAGAUUCGGCCACCACAAGCAAGGUAAGCUUUUCCUUUUGGUGAUUUUCUUUAUGUUAGUUUUUGACAUUGUACAAUAUCCAUGCUAGGAUAAUAAUUCAUGACAGAAUAAAAAGAUGAAGUUUGGGAUUUUAUAGAGGGGUUUCAGCCUAUAGUCAUAUUGUGCCACAUGUGUAUGCAUGGCCCAUGCAAUGAUAACUUGAAGGUCAAGUAAUAAGAUAGUAGAGCUAGAAUUACCUAAGCCUAGGGUUUAUGCAAGUUUGUAUUUUCCUAUGUUUAUGAGUAAUUUAAAUUAAAGUAAAGUUUAUUACUUUGAUUUUAUGAAUUAUUGUGAAACCUUUCCGCUAUGUACUUGCAAGGACUCAAGGUAAGGAAGUUAGCUAGAUGUUCAUGAACAUGUGACAUGUAUGUUUAUGAUAAUGUUUGCAGGGACAAGUAUUGGGUAGAUGAGUUCUUUUGACCAAUAAGUUGUAUGUUACUAAUAUGAGUAGGAAUCUUGUGAGUAGACACUUGUUGAGCAAACUGGGCAUCAAAGUGGUGUUUGAGUCCGGCAAACUAAUUUUAUCCAAGAAGAAUUAAUUUGUGGGAAAAGGGUAUGUGUGUGAUGAAAUGAUGAAACUGUGUACCAAAGACUCAUGUUUUGAUAAUAAUGCAAGCACAUCUUUCUCUUAUAUCCUUGGCUUUGAUGAAAUGAUGAAACUGUGUACCAAAGACUCAUGUUUUGAUAAUAAUGCAAGCACAUCUUUCUCUUAUAUCCUUGGCUUUGAUUCUAUUACUUUGUGGCACAAUAGAUUUGCUCAU